rnacentral:lncRNA from 1 species
UUAUAAUCUUCAUAUAACUAUACGUUCAUUAGUUUUUUUCUCCACCUUUUGAUUAUGAGAACCUGAAAGACCCAUAGUACAGGGUCACAUUCCUCCUUAGGAAGUAUCAAUUACUGAUAAUAAAAUCACAGAUUAUUUUUUUUCUUUCCGUGAUUGAACUCAACAUCUAUUUUCUCAUUCUCUCCUUGUGUUCUUACUGAAACACAUUAUGUUCUACAGGUAGAUUUCCUUGAGUAACUCCAUGUGAGGUCUACAGAGGAAGAGAGGAAAUUAUCCUCUCUGGAAAAAAAUCGAGUCAAGAUGUCUGUGAAGAAACAAAAAGAAAAACCAAUAAGGUGCAAUAUAGAUUCAUAAAAUUACAUAAUUUCAGAUUCAAAAGAUAUCUGAAAAUCCAUCUGCUCCAAUCUAUGCCUGAGAAAGAAUCUAUACUACAACACAUCUGAGAAGUUAUCAUCUGGCCUUUGAAGACCCCUAGUAAAGGGACUGAUUCCUGAAAUAGUUCAUUCCACUUGGAAAUGGCUCAAUUUGGGGGAAACCAUUUUAUCUCUCUGUAAAUUUAUCCAGUGCUUCUGGAUUUAGCUUUAAUCAUUAGGAACUUGAUUAAGCUCCUUCUGUGUGCCUGGCAUGAUAUUGGUUCCUUGGAACAUGAAAAAAAAAUGAAACAGUUCUUGUUCUUAAUGAGCUUACAUUCUAUCAGGGGAGAUGGCAUGUACAUUUAUAAGUAUAUAUAGAAUAUACCUAAGAGAAAUGAAAGGAAAUUUGGGAAGGGAGGAUGCUAGCAAUUGGUGAUAUCAUAUAGAAAGCUAUUCUUGGAUGGAGAUUUGAAGGAAGAGAGAUUCUUCAAAAGACAAGCGGGGAAGGAGUACAAUGCAAGCAUAAAAGAUGACUAUACCAAGGAUGGGGCAAAUGAGGUAUCAUGUUUGAGGAAAAGCCAGAAGACCAAACUAAAUGGAUUGUAGAGUACAAAAAGGAGAGAAAUGUCUAAUGAAUGUGGAAAGGUUGGUUGGGGCCAGGAAGGUGU